GACGAACGCUGGCGGCGUGCCUAAUACAUGCAAGUCGAGCGAAUCUUGAGGUGCUUGCACCUCUUGGUUAGCGGCGGACGGGUGAGUAACACGUGGGCAACCUGCCUGUAAGACUGGGAUAACUUCGGGAAACCGGAGCUAAUACCGGAUAAUCCUUUUCCUCUCAUGAGGAAAAGCUGAAAGUCGGUUUACGCUGACACUUACAGAUGGGCCCGCGGCGCAUUAGCUAGUUGGUGAGGUAACGGCUCACCAAGGCGACGAUGCGUAGCCGACCUGAGAGGGGGAUCGGCCACACUGGGACUGAGACACGGCCCAGACUACUACGGGAGGCUGCAGUAGGGAAUCUUCCGCAAUGGACGAAGGUCUGACGGAGCAACGCCGCGUGAGCGAUGAAGGCCUUCGGGUCGUAAAGCUCUGUUGUUAGGGAAGAACAAGUAUCGGAGUAACUGCCGGUACCUUGACGGUACCUAACCAGAAAGCCACGGCUAACUACGUGCCAGCCGCCGCGGUAACAC
rnacentral:rRNA from 1 species